AUGAUACCCAAACGCGACUGCGGAUCAUGUAAGCCUAUCAUACUGAUAUCCACAGAGUCUAUAAUUAUUUUCCCUUCAUCAGGUUCAACAAGGCGAAACAAUGCACCAAUUAACGUUGUCUUGCCACUUCCUGUUCGACCAACUAUACCAAUCUUAUCUCCACGUUCAAAAUUGCAAGUGAUUCCAUGUAGUACAAGGGGAGCAUCUAUCCUAUACCUGAUCUGUUAA
rnacentral:rRNA from 1 species